UUUUGUAGCACUGUUCAUUAUACACAAAUAUAUUUAGUUACAUUAACACAUACACAUUUAUUUUUAAGACAAAAUACAAGUGUAAUGUGUUAUGCUAAAUCAAUUUGUUAUUCACUCUGGUUUACCUAACUACCUAUCUUUAAACAAAAGUAAUUGGUUUACUUUUGCGAUAGAGAGUAGACCUAUUAUCAGGUUCAUAUUCCGGAACAGAGGGGGCGGUAAUGCUCCAUUAAGCUGGUUACCAAUCGCCGGUAAAAAAGAAAGAAGAAGAAGAAGAAUAUUUUUCAAACUAAAGGAUGUGACGUCAUUUUAACAACUUCCACGAAGACGGCGCGCAGGUGAUGGUGUGUCAUACCACAAUGACUUCUCCAGUCUGGCUAAAAGUUACAAAAGGUGAUCCUUCAGUAUGCCAUUCCUACUUCAGUGAGUGACUCAGGAAUCGCCUUCAAUAGCAGAUUUCAAAACUAGAUGGCCUGCUCUUUUCAGAUGGGAAGAGAUUUGUGCACAGUUUAAAAGAAUCACAACAGCCCCAUUGGUGUCUACAUACUUGGCGAAGAUGAAUCCAUAUUCUGCAAAGCUUAUAAGGAUCUAUGCAAAACGAGGAGUCGUCAAUGGACAGAGAAUUAAAAACCUGCUGGUCUCCACAACACUGACUGACAACAUUGAUCAGACUCCGAUCUUUCUUUGUCUACCUGAAUGAAGACCCGACCAGUCUAAUUAAAGAGUAUUUGGAUACAGAUGCACCCAGUACCCAGGAGGCGAUCCAGAAGAUGGUAAUGGGAGUGCUUGUUGUAAAAAUGUAUGGUUCAGACAUUGAAGACAGCCCAGCAGAUGUUGGAGUGUUAUUAAAGGGAUUAAGAGUUCUCGGACCUCAACAACAUUGUGUAUGCAACAACCAUGCUGAUGGGACUGAAAUAUGAACUGAACUUGAGCUACUUUCCCAAAUUCAGGUACACUUUUGAAGUAUUGCAGUUGUUGUUUCUGGAGCUAGAUGGGAAGUAACUAUCUCAUAAAGUUCAGACGCUGAAGACCAAGCCUUUUGCAGAUGUUUUGAGAAAGGAAUGUUUUAAUAUUUCAUAUGUAAAUGCCAUGUUUUUGAAAUGGCAGUACAAUAACAUUCAGGAAGUAAGCAGUGUCGUCAAUUUAUUUUGAUAGUUUUGCAGUGUGUUUCUAUUUAAUUAGAUUAAUGUAGAGUUGUUUAAAGCUUUGGCUGUACGUAAAUGGUCCUGCAUCUAAUUUGUCAUGGAAUGUUAACGUUUAUAAUGUUUUUACAGUACCAUUUAACUUAAAAUUAUACCAAAGUUGUUGAAAAAUCUUUGGAAGUCGCAUGUGCCAGCUCUCUGAAUGGAGAGCAACCUAUUUUGUCAGUUAGCAUUACAGUUGUGUAAUAAUGUUGUUUAAUUAUACGUAUCCAGGGACUUGAAAAAACUGCCUGAAUGGUGCUUCGUGCAUUUCAUUUGUCAGUAAGUGUAAAAAAUUGUAAUGUUAUAAGGUAACAUUGUAAUAUCCAAAGUCCUUGAAAAACUUUGCAAGUUUUUCAAGUUGAUGAGUGCAUCUCAUUUGUCGGUAUAUCCUUUACGGUAUCUGUAGUUUAAGUGCAAUAAACAUGGCUUGAAGAACUGGUGUCUGAGAAUCUUUUAUGAAUAAAAUGAAUGUUAUAUAGAGUUUAUUACAAAAAGUAUAUUUUUGUGUGUGAUUUAACUUGAAAUAGAAAUUGUUGUGUUAAAGUAAAUAAAAGUAAUUGGAUGGAACCACUGUCCACAAUGUAAAUGAGUUGUAUGAAUAAACUACUCUUGAUUUGGACAAGCAAAAAAUAUUUGAUUAGUUUGUACAAGUUAAACACAUGUUCA